rnacentral:rRNA from 1 species
UACGGAGGGUGCAAGCGUUAUCCGGAUUCACUGGGUUUAAAGGGUGCGUAGGUGGGCAGGUAAGUCAGUGGUGAAAUCUCCGGGCUUAACCCGGGAACUGCCAUUGAUACUAUCUGUCUUGAAUACCGUGGAGGUGAGCGGAAUAUGUCAUGUAGCGGUGAAAUGCUUAGAUAUGACAUAGAACACCAAUUGCGAAGGCAGCUCACUACACGAAUAUUGACACUGAGGCACGAAAGCGUGGGGAUCAAACAGG